ACGAUCAGUAGGGGUUCUGAGAGGAAGGUCCCCCACAUUGGAACUGAGACACGGUCCAAACUCCUACGGGAGGCAGCAGUGAGGAAUAUUGGUCAAUGGGCGAGAGCCUGAACCAGCCAAGUAGCGUGCAGGAAGACGGCCCUAUGGGUUGUAAACUGCUUUUAUAAGGGAAUAAAGUGAGUCUCGUGAGACUUUUUGCAUGUACCUUAUGAAUAAGGACCGGCUAAUUCCGUGCCAGCAGCCGCGGUAAUACGGAAGGUCCGGGCGUUAUCCGGAUUUAUUGGGUUUAAAGGGAGCGUAGGCCGGAGAUUAAGCGUGUUGUGAAAUGUAGAUGCUCAACAUCUGCACUGCAGCGCGAACUGGUUUCCUUGAGUACGCACAAAGUGGGCGGAAUUCGUGGUGUAGCGGUGAAAUGCUUAGAUAUCACGAAGAACUCCGAUUGCGAAGGCAGCUCACUGGAGCGCAACUGACGCUGAAGCUCGAAAGUGCGGGUAUCGAACGGGAUU
rnacentral:rRNA from 1 species